AUUGAACGCUGGCGGUAGGCCUAACACAUGCAAGUCGAGCGGAAGAAGAGAGCUUGCUCCUUGUUUCAGCGGCGGACGGGCGAGUAAUGCCUAGGUAUCUGCCUGGCUGCGGGGGAUUACGUCAGGAAACGGGCGCACAUACCCCAUUAGUCCAGACGACGUACGUGUGGGAGCUUCGGACCUUACGCCCUCACGUGAUUCUAGGUCGGAUUAGCUAGUUGGUGGGGUAAAGGCCUACCAAGGCGACGAUCCGUAACUGGUCUGAGAGGAUGAUCAGUCACACUGGAACUGAGACACGGUCCAGACUCCUACGGGAGGCAGCAGUGGGGAAUAUUGGACAAUGGGCGAAAGCCUGAUCCAGCCAUACCGCGUGUGUGAAGAAGGUCUUCGGAUUGUAAAGCACUUUAAGUGGGAAAGAAGAGCAGUAAGUUAAUACCUUGCUGUUUUGACGUUACCAACAGAAUAAGCACCGGCUAACUUCGUG
rnacentral:rRNA from 1 species